rnacentral:rRNA from 1 species
AUUGAACGCUGGCGGCAUGCCUUACACAUGCAAGUCGAACGGCAGCACGGGUGCUUGCCCCUGGUGGCGAGUGGCGAACGGGUGAGUAAUACAUCGGAACAUGUCCUGUAGUGGGGGAUAGCCCGGCGAAAGCCGGAUUAAUACCGCAUACGAUCUACGGAUGAAAGCGGGGGACCUUCGGGCCUCGCGCUAUAGGGUUGGCCGAUGGCUGAUUAGCUAGUUGGUGGGGUAAAGGCCUACCAAGGCGACGAUCAGUAGCUGGUCUGAGAGGACGACCAGCCACACUGGGACUGAGACACGGCCCAGACUCCUACGGGAGGCAGCAGUGGGGAAUUUUGGACAAUGGGCGAAAGCCUGAUCCAGCAAUGCCGCGUGUGUGAAGAAGGCCUUCGGGUUGUAAAGCACUUUUGUCCGGAAAGAAAUCCUUGGCCCUAAUACGGUCGGGGGAUGACGGGACCGGAAGAAUAAGCACCGGCGAACUACGU